UACGAAGGGUGCAACCGUUGCUCGGAAUCACUGGGCGUAAAGCGCACGUAGGCGGAUUGCUAAGUCAGGGGUGAAAUCCUGGAGCUCAACUCCAGAACUGCCUUUGAUGCUGGUGAUCUUGAGUCCGGGAGAGGUGAGUGGAACUGCGAGUGUAGAGGUGAAAUUCGUAGAUAUUCGCAAGAACACCAGUGGCGAAGGCGGCUCACUGGCCCGGUACUGACGCUGAGGUGCGAAAGCGUGGGGAGCAAACAGG
rnacentral:rRNA from 1 species